GUGGCUCAGUGGUAGAGCUCUUGCCUUGCAUGCAUGAGGUCCUGGGUUCGAUUCCUCAGC
rnacentral:tRNA from 1 species